AACGAACGCUGGCGGCAGGCUUAACACAUGCAAGUCGAACGCACCGCAAGGUGAGUGGCAGACGGGUGAGUAACACGUGGGGAUCUGCCCAAUGGUACGGAAUAGCUCCGGGAAACUGGAAUUAAUACCGUAUGAGCCCGCAAGGGGAAAGAUUUAUCGCCAUUGGAUGAACCCGCGUCGGAUUAGCUAGUUGGUGUGGUAAAGGCGCACCAAGGCGACGAUCCGUAGCUGGUCUGAGAGGAUGAUCAGCCACACUGGGACUGAGACACGGCCCAGACUCUUACGGGAGGGAGCAGUGGGGAAUAUUGGAAAAUGGGCGCAAGCCUGAUCCGGCCAUGCCGCGUGAGUGAUGAAGGCCUUAGGGUUGUAAAGCUCUUUCGCCGACGAAGAUAAUGACGGUAGUCGGAGAAGAAGCCCCGGCUAACUUCGUGCCAGCCGCCGCUGUAACAC
rnacentral:rRNA from 1 species